UACGAACUGUGCGAACGUUAUUCGGAAUCACUGGGCUUACAGGGUGCGUAGGCGGCUUUUCAAGUCAGGUGUGAAAGCCCCCGGCUCAACCGGGGAAUUGCGCUUGAAACUGGAGAGCUCGAGUCAGCUAGAGGUGCACGGAACUUCCAGUGGAGCGGUGAAAUGUGUUGAUAUUCGAAGGAACACCGGAGGCGAAAGCGGUGCACUGGGGCUGGUCUGACGCUGAGGCACGAAAGCCAGGGUAGCGAACGGG
rnacentral:rRNA from 1 species